ACAGCGUGGUGGGGGCACUUCCUAAGUAAUUCCUUGAGUCUCUCCCACGCUUCACGAAAUUGUUCGCCCUCUAAUUGGGAGAAACUAGUAAUGGCUCUUCUAAGGCU